CCAGGGUUCAAAUGGCUGAGCGGGAAGCGCUCUAGUAGGGACUCUGGCAACUCUGUUUUCUCCUUCUCUUCCUUUUCACCCAAUAAUACCCUGUCUUACUCAUUAUUUCAAAUUGUCUAAGAGCCUGAAUUUUCGUGGCUCUAGGGCAAAGAACCCCGUCUUUAACUGAACUAAGGAAAAGUCCUACAACAUUUUUGGCACGCAACGUGGGAGCUCGAGAAGCGGAAAUGUUUUACUAAGCCAGACCCCCUGUCGGCCCUCCCGCGCACUCCUUUCCCCCAGCAAACUGUCACCGGUCCAUGUUAUAUCACUGCCCAUAUGCUGGACACUGGAGGUCACAAAAUCUCCUAAAACUUUUGGCAACAAGAAACCUAGAGUUUGUUUGGACUAAUCUAUGUCUCCUCAUUUAAGGAAUACAUCUACUGAAGGAGUCUACUCCUGCCACCAAAGUAUAAAAGCUGGACAAACAACAUAACGGAAAUCAUUUGAAGGCAUUUGAAAGUGACCACCAUUCAUAGUUCUUUAAGGGUUAUAAACCCUGAGAGAUAAAAGGAAUCAAUAGAACCCAUACUUAUGGCAACAUUUCUCCUUUAGAGUAUUUUCAGCUUACUGUGUGGAAUAGAUUCAGAGAAGAAAGCCAAAGUCUCCCUGGGCUGAGGAAACAUUGGAUUUUCAGUACAGUCACAGCAGCUGUGAUUUCAGGGGACAAAAAUCUCAAGGAAUGUAUAUAACUGAACCCCAAAAUCUGUAUUCCAUUUUUUUUUAGACUUUUUCAACUCUGAAGCUGUACAGGGAAAGCUCUAAGAAGCCCAACCAAAAGCAGCAGUUUAGACUGUGUGAAAGCACUGAACACGUUUCAAUAGUUAACUGAAUGAGUAGGCUUGGCAAAUAUUCUAUGCUCUCAGCUAUAUCCUAGAAGUAUGGGACUAUAUCCUAGAAGUAUAUAGGGUAUAUAGAAGUAUCCUAGAAGUAUAUAUGGGACUAUAUCCUUAGAAGUAUGAUCCAUACCCUUGAAGUAAGAGAAAAACUGAAAAAAACAACAAGAACCAAUUUUGAACUGAAAAUAUUUCAGAAAAAAAUUGCAUCUGCACUUAACAUGUACAGAUUAUUUUUCUGGUCAUUAUUCCAUAAACAAUACAGUGUAACAACUAUUACAUAGCAUGCACAUUUUAUUAGGUAUAAUAGGUAAUCUAUAUACAUAUAUGCCCUGGAAUCUACUUUUUCUAAUACUAAUAUAGCCACUCAAGCUACCUUAAGAUUAGUUUUAGAAUAGUACAUUCUAAUAGUACAUUCUUUUU
rnacentral:lncRNA from 1 species